rnacentral:rRNA from 1 species
AGAGUUUGAUCCUGGCUCAGGAUGAACGCUGGCGGCGUGCUUAACACAUGCAAGUCGAACGGUGAAGCCAAGCUUGCUUGGUGGAUCAGUGGCGAACGGGUGAGUAACACGUGAGCAACCUGCCCUGGACUCUGGGAUAAGCGCUGGAAACGGCGUCUAAUACUGGAUAUGAGCUCUCAUCGCAUGGUGGGGGUUGGAAAGAUUUUUUGGUCUGGGAUGGGCUCGCGGCCUAUCAGCUUGUUGGUGAGGUAAUGGCUCACCAAGGCGUCGACGGGUAGCCGGCCUGAGAGGGUGACCGGCCACACUGGGACUGAGACACGGCCCAGACUCCUACGGGAGGCAGCAGUGGGGAAUAUUGCACAAUGGGCGGAAGCCUGAUGCAGCAACGCCGCGUGAGGGAUGACGGCCUUCGGGUUGUAAACCUCUUUUAGCAGGGAAGAAGCGAGAGUGACGGUACCUGCAGAAAAAGCGCCGGCUAACUACGUGCCAGCAGCCGCGGUAAUACGUAGGGCGCAAGCGUUAUCCGGAAUUAUUGGGCGUAAAGAGCUCGUAGGCGGUUUGUCGCGUCUGCUGUGAAAUCCCGAGGCUCAACCUCGGGCCUGCAGUGGGUACGGGCAGACUAGAGUGCGGUAGGGGAGAUUGGAAUUCCUGGUGUAGCGGUGGAAUGCGCAGAUAUCAGGAGGAACACCGAUGGCGAAGGCAGAUCUCUGGGCCGUAACUGACGCUGAGGAGCGAAAGGGUGGGGAGCAAACAGGCUUAGAUACCCUGGUAGUCCACCCCGUAAACGUUGGGAACUAGUUGUGGGGACCAUUCCACGGUUUCCGUGACGCAGCUAACGCAUUAAGUUCCCCGCCUGGGGAGUACGGCCGCAAGGCUAAAACUCAAAGGAAUUGACGGGGACCCGCACAAGCGGCGGAGCAUGCGGAUUAAUUCGAUGCAACGCGAAGAACCUUACCAAGGCUUGACAUACACCAGAACACCGUAGAAAUACGGGACUCUUUGGACACUGGUGAACAGGUGGUGCAUGGUUGUCGUCAGCUCGUGUCGUGAGAUGUUGGGUUAAGUCCCGCAACGAGCGCAACCCUCGUUCUAUGUUGCCAGCACGUAAUGGUGGGAACUCAUGGGAUACUGCCGGGGUCAACUCGGAGGAAGGUGGGGAUGACGUCAAAUCAUCAUGCCCCUUAUGUCUUGGGCUUCACGCAUGCUACAAUGGCCGGUACAAAGGGCUGCAAUACCGUGAGGUGGAGCGAAUCCCAAAAAGCCGGUCCCAGUUCGGAUUGAGGUCUGCAACUCGACCUCAUGAAGUCGGAGUCGCUAGUAAUCGCAGAUCAGCAACGCUGCGGUGAAUACGUUCCCGGGUCUUGUACACACCGCCCGUCAAGUCAUGAAAGUCGGUAACACCUGAAGCCGGUGGCCUAACCCUUGUGGAGGGAGCCGUCGAAGGUGGGAUCGGUAAUUAGGACUAAGUCGUAACAAGGUAACCGUA